CAAUCUUCUUUAUAUCUAUGCUGUUAUAGGUUUCCUCAUUGUUUUUGUUUGUUAUAUGUCUUCCAUUUUUUUCUAUUAUAAUUGAAUUUUCACUAUGAGCGCAUCGUAUUUUUUUUACGCUUUUAUGAUUCACCUGAUUUGAUCCUUUCUUGUCACGUGUUUUGUAUAUUGGGUUUAAAAUUUCUUCAGAAGGUCCUGGGAGAAAUGCUCAACAAUUUAUGCUCUAAACUCUUGGACUAUAGAACUGAAUUUACAAUUUAUAAAAAAACUUUCUUCUUAGAGACUUUUUUUUUUCUCUUGACAAUCCAAUUUUUUCCCUCUAAACCCAUUUUCUAUCUCUUCUGGGUUGGAUGCCUUAAUUGCGUUUUUCUUUUACUCCACAUAUGUCCCCUCUAUUUGAGGCUGCCUCCAAACCCUAGAUUUAUUACCCUAAGGUCGUCGGCAUAGGACAUUGAUAGAUUGGUAUCGAUGGAUGCCUUAAUUUCAUUUUUCUCUAUUCUUCUUUUUUCUUGUUAUUUUUACCUUUGGUAGAGGUGAUAUUGAUAGAUAAAAUGAAAGUAGACGUUGAUGGUAAUGGUAAUGGUUUGACCUGGACACAUGGUUUGGAGUUACUCUUUUCUUUUUUACCUAUCUGUCAUCUUUUCCUAUUAGAUAAGGGCAAACUUUCUCUGCGUCCCCUACAGCAUAAAACUUAUAUACCUUUCCUUAUCCAACCGUCCAUCCUAAAUGGACGGUUGAGAUGGCCCUAAUCACAGUGUCACAUUACAUCUCUAAGAGAAAAUAUUCGUAGCACUAUUAUAAUUGUAGAUAUGGCUAUGAUUGCAGAAAAAUGCCACAUGAGAAGUUUAUUUCUGGCAGGCAAGGAUGAGAGAUCCUAAAGAUUCUUACCAGAGGCAUUUCAAAUGCCAUAAAGUCUCCAAGAAGUUUCUUUGAAACAAACACCAUAAACAUAUUUGACAGGUAGCUGCUUUUUUGUCGAUUCAUUAUUUCGGAAUUUGAUGUGGUCUUUAGAUUUGUUUUUGAAUCAUUCUAUUGAUUUGGUGAUUUAACAUCGGGUUUUGGAGAGGGUGUUUAAAAUUGUUUUGUGGGCUCUUAGUAGAAUUCCAAUAUUUCCCUGACAGCUUCCAUUCCAAGUUAUAUAUGAAAGAAUAAUAAGAAAAACAUGGCUACCAACACUGUAACAAGCGUCCGCUUCAGAUCUGUUUCUAAAAUGUUGGAU
rnacentral:lncRNA from 1 species